UUUACCUACGGGGGGCAGCAGUGGGGAAUAUUGCGCAAUGGGCGAAAGCCUGACGCAGCGACGCCGCGUGAGGGAUGAAGGUUUUCGGAUCGUAAACCUCUGUCAGAAGGGAAGAAAGUGCGUGGUGCUAAUCAGCCGCGUAUUGACGGUACCUUCAAAGGAAGCACCGGCUAACUCCGUGCCAGCAGCCGCGGUAAUACGGAGGGUGCGAGCGUUAAUCGGAAUUACUGGGCGUAAAGCGCUCGUAGGCGGUAUGUCAAGUCAAGGGUGAAAUCCCCGCGCUCAACGUGGGAACUGCCUUUGAA
rnacentral:rRNA from 1 species